rnacentral:rRNA from 1 species
ACUCCUACGGGAGGCAGCAGUGGGGAAUAUUGGACAAUGGGCGCAAGCCUGAUCCAGCCAUGCCGCGUGAGUGAUGAAGGCCUUCGGGUUGUAAAGCUCUUUCGCACGCGACGAUGAUGACGGUAGCGUGAGAAGAAGCCCCGGCUAACUUCGUGCCAGCAGCCGCGGUAAU